AUGAACGCUGGCGGCGUGCCUAAUACAUGCAAGUCGAGCGAACAGACGAGGAGCUUGCUCCUCUGACGUUAGCGGCGGACGGGUGAGUAACACGUGGAUAACCUACCUAUAAGACUGGGAUAACUUCGGGAAACCGGAGCUAAUACCGGAUAAUAUAUUGAACCGCAUGGUUCAAUAGUGAAAGACGGUUUUGCUGUCACUUAUAGAUGGAUCCGCGCCGCAUUAGCUAGUUGGUAAGGUAACGGCUUACCAAGGCAACGAUGCGUAGCCGACCUGAGAGGGUGAUCGGCCACACUGGAACUGAGACACGGUCCAG
rnacentral:rRNA from 1 species